CCACAGAAAGUAAGCUUUUACAUUAAAAAAAACCACAUUCUGUAGGCAUUUUUUUUUUUCUGUGUAUUUGUUUCGUAAGGCCAGCGUAAGUCUGGAUAUUUCAAAGGCUUUUAAAUAUUCAAGUCAUGAGUUUUGCAUCAAGAUGAUUAAAUUGGAUGCUUUUGCUCGCUUUUGGUUACUCCUCGAUGUAACUCUAUAAAAACAAAUGAAGAUGAGGGUGAUUUGGACCCUCUGGCUAUAUUUACCAUUAUGUUAUUACUUGCCUACCUUAUAACAAAAAACUGUACUCCACAGCCCUUCUCCAGGAAAUGUAAAAACACUGUCCAGCAUCCAUCUGGUAAGAUUCACCUAGUUCUGACAGCAUCCAUUAGCAGAUGCCUUGGGAAGAGGAUAAAACCAGGACCUGCAUCUGGUGAUAUCUCUCAAGUAUACUCUGGGCCUCUGCUGAUGUGCACCUCUGGGGUUGCGUCUGCUGGGCUGUGGUGCUGUUUGGUCACGCAGUGUUGUCUGGGGAAUCAGAGUUAGCAGUCCUACACUGUGAAAGAAAAAGGGUAUUUAAUGAGAGAUGGGUACUUCAUGUGAUUUGCAAUGGUCAUUUGACUUCAAAAGUGUUUUGUGUAUGAAAUUCAUCAAAACAUCACUGUCUGGAGGACAGCCUCUCAGUAUUUUGUUCAUUGCAUUUAUACAGGUGGUAUAUGGUAUCCAUUAGCUCACCGUAUUCGUUUUAUUGCUUUAUUUUUAGGGCUUAUAUAAUACUGCUGUUCUUUUGUCACCUAAGGAAGGAGCUAAUUUUGGCAUUACUCUGCAUGCAGAACUCACUGCAGUCUUUACCUAUAGAUGUAAUAAUGGUCAGUUUGUAACACCAGAAUUGAAAUUGUUUGAAAAUGUGAAAUUGGUGGUCCCUUAAAGAAGGAUACAAUACUGAAUGAUCUUCAGAAAGCAAAGAUUGCAUCUCUUCUUGUUUGUAAGCAGAAGGAGAGGAAUCAAAGACCAGAAGCACAGCCUAUGUCACUGCAGCUCAAUGCAUGCAUCACCCGUCGUAGCUGUUUGGAACUGCUUACAACAAGGAAAAAAUUGGCAAAUGAUCAGUGCCAUUUUGAUUGAUUUUAAAAGCUCUACAAGAGCUUCUCUAAAAGGAUCAUUCCAAUGGCAGUCAGUUUAAGAUGUCUUACAGCUAAAUUUAUUACUACAGCUAAACAAGACAUUUCUUUUUUCCCGUGUCACGCACUGACACAUUUCUCCCUCUGUCCUUAGUACCUCUGGUUGUAGUGCCCAUUUAACAUCCAGUAGUACUCUAAAUGUACUCAGGAAACAUGUCCUUGGCAAGUCAUGAUGUCAUUUUGCAAAGAAGUGGGGCUAUAGAUGAAAAAUACAUAACCAGGACCCACAUGACUGUUUGAAAACCUAAUCUCUUUCUGCAUGAAAAAACAUGAUUUGGAGAUUAAGAGUAGAAAGAGAACAAAAAGAGUGGUAGUGCUGAAGUCUAGCUUUAGCACAGGGAUGAGUUUUUUGAAGUGGUGGGCUAAAAUAUAGACUUCUGCAUUCUUAGAUGUAUUGUUUAAAGGCGUAGUCUUUGAAAGUGGUAAGUGUGCUGUCACUCCCAUGGACAAACGAUGUGUUAGAACUACAGGAACUCCAUUAUCUAAGUGAGAUGACAGCACUCCUUGCUCAGAGAAUGACUGUGGCUGUUCUGAUUUGCUAGCAUCUUGUGAGCUGCAGUAGUCUCAGCUGUAAGGCACGAUUCAGGUGUUGCAUUCAGAAACGUUAUGUGUUUCAUGUAAAGUAGCAUUUUUAGCUAAAAACAUAAUCCAUGAAAGGUGUAGGUUGGAGACGACAAAGCAAGUUGUGUUGCAUGGUUACUCUCCUUGCUGUACCUAUUCACAGAGCUGAUUUGAUGAAGUUACUUUGUGCAAAAACAGACAAGCCAGGGAAGAAAAUUACGUUCCACAUGCAAAAUAGAAGUACUCGGGAGAGCCUGGCAUCCAACACCUCGAGCAUUGUUGAAAGCAACAGACGUCAGAACCCUGCUCUGAGCCCAGCACACGGCGGUGCAGGCCCAGCAUUCAGCUUCCGAGCCACCGCAGACCCGCCGACAAGUGAAGCUGAGAAACUGCAGAAACCAGCUAACUGCCUGCAAGCUUCUGUCACUAGUGUCUGAUAGCCUGCCUCAGAAUUUCUGUCUUAUCCCAUACAGCAAAGUUUACGACACUGGGACUGAUGUUUACAUCUUUGGAGAAAAAAAAAAAAAAAAGCAUCUCAACCACAGUUUUAGUGUUUACUUAAACUGUGCUGCUAUGUAGACUAGGGGCAACAAAUAAAUCUUUCUUUCGAGGUAUUGCUUUUCACAUUUGCGGCUCUGUAGCAACAGAAUAGCAGUAGGGAUAAUAUGUACACUUUUUGCUUCACUUAAUUGUAACUGAGCACAUAUAUGAAAGUCUAGACACUGUAAGCGUAAUCUGCAUUUUCAAUGUCCAUGCAGUUGCCAACUUCAUUUUUAAAAAAUGCCACAGAUGUGUGAUGCCCCUGGUCAGAAGCUAAACUCUGCUGCAGAGUUGGUUUCCUUCAAAACUUGAGCCAGUGCUGAAAGCGACCAGCCAGGAUCACCGCGAGGAAAAAUGAUGCCAAACGUGACGAGUGAUGACCUCGGCUCUGUGUGUGAAUUAUCGGUACCGAUCAGUCGUUUCCACUGUGCGUUUUUGUGACAGUUUUGCAAAUACCUGUUGAAGUGAGUAAGAAGAGGUUCUUUUUUUAGAGUGUGGAGGGUGGGGAGGGAGAUGGCUUUCUCUUUUGUGUUUCAGGAGUAUGAGAGAUGUUUGUGUACUGAAGCUCGCUGCAUGACCUUCCGCAGUCACAAAUGGGGAGGUAGGCCUUUGCAUAGAGGGGGGAAUGGGGAGGGAAGGGAAAGUUAUAACUGUCAUAGAGCUGCAGCGCAGAGUGACACAAAAUAUAGGAAAUAUCUUCACCUUACGUCAAGUAUUUUAAAAAGAUAAUCUGAUUUUCGUGUCACUUCUGGUAUUGCAACUUGCCGUUAACGCAGGAACCAGAAAAAAAUCUGAUUUCUUUGAACAAAAAUAUUCUUUAUGAUAUAAAUGACAAGUAUGGCCUGAAGAACUGAUUUCUUUCUAGUGGAAGGACAUAAAUCUAUUUUAUGUAGUUUAUUAAAUAGAGUGCCUAAAUUAGGCUAUUAAAAAUAGCACACAGCGUAGUGAUUAUCAGAGAACAAAAUUUAGAGAAUUAUAAACUUCUGGCCUUUUUAUUCAGUGGAUGUUAUUUGCAAUUUAGCAUUUUAUGGACAUGUUUAGUUUCUGGAAAUUAAAUGUGUCCGUAUGGUGGGCAGUAGAAAACUGAAUUCUGUAGGUAUGGUUUAUCCUAAUUGCUCUCCCCAGAAUUGUUACUCUGGAGUAAUUUGUACCGUGCUAAUUACAGCAGAGUAACUUCUAAGGAUAGUGGAACUUCAAGAAUAAUUUUGAGGUGUAGGGUCACAUUCUGCUCUGUUCCUCAUAUGACCUGGUAGUGCAACAAACUGACUUUAAAAUUAAUUUUAUCUUCAUUUUCUGUCAGAACAGACAAAUUGGUGGAAGAAUAACAAAGAUACUAAAUCGUUCAGCAGUCCCAACUGUUGAAUAGAAGAGGGACAUUUCCACUGUCUAGCUCCUGUAGUACACAGGUAUUAAAACCAACUGUACAUACUAAGAACCAGUAUUUUCGUCAGGUUCUGGUGACAUGCAUUACUCUGUACGCAGAGUCAUUUGAGCUUCACUCAUGUUCUAUAUUCUCAUCAGAAGUCUUCACUGAAGGUUCAGCCUUAUGUUAUGCAGUUGGAUAUAAGUUCAUUUUCUUACCAGCCGGCUUUCUAACUGGACACGAUCAAUUUCUAAUUCUAUCAAGAACAUCUCUAGUACCCAGUAAAUGCACAGGUCUGCUUUCCUUGGUUUCAGUGUACAAAUUCCAUUUCACAGGAGCAAUAAGACCUUUUGGUGCACAUGAAGGAAAUUAUUGUGCUUCUGGUUGGUUAUCAAAGUCACUUGGCCUUUAGCCUUCUGCCUUAUCAUACCUUCCAAGAUGUGCUCUAAUGACCAUAUAGCGCUUUGCAUGACGCAUCUUACUAUUCAAUAUGUAACUCCAGCCGUGCUUACUCCAUGCGAACUGUAGAGUCAGAGUUUUUGUGGGGAGCUGUCAUAUACUAUGCAGUGGCUGACUGUGAUUUUGUUUUCUGAGGCAAGCUCUGACAUCAGUAGUAUGUAUCCAUACAGUAAAUAAAAAUGUCAAAACUUAAAUAAUAGUAAUUACAGCUGAUGAUCUGAAGUACAAAUGGCAGUAUUAGAAUGUGAGGAGCAAAAACAAAUUUUAUCUUUUGGAGAAGCGUUUGUCAAAAACUAAUCAGAACUUACGCAGGCAGCUGGUUGUACAGAAGACAUAGUUUCAACAAAAUAUGACAGUACAUACCUACAAACAGUGUAGUAUGUAGUUUCCUAAAGUUCCCAGAGACCAGCAGACAACAUAAAUGUCAUAUUAAUGUUGACGUGGCAUUGUACCAAUAUUAAUGUGACUCUUGGAAUAUGGAAUGUAAACAGAAGUUUCAAAUAGAAACGUUCUAAUCUUGAAUUCUUUUUUUUUUCCUUUCUUUUUUCUUUAAAAAUCAAUAAUGGAAUAUAAGGAAAUUCCAUCUUGAGGUUCUGGUAACAAAACCACGAGAGUGGAGCUUGAGUGCUUUAUGUCACCCUAAUCCUUUGAUGAAAUCAUAGCCUUGUAUUACGUGGUUGCUUAUCUAUCAUUCUUCUAAUGUAUCAAUUUAAAGGUUUACAGAGUUAGAUUAGGUUGAAUCUGUGUUGUGUUCAACUGUAAAGGGUCAACACAAAUCUGUCGGCAUUUUGCACACUUGAUAUGUAUUAUUAUAAUACAACAUGUUACUUUUAUGGUAAUUUUUUUUACACAUAUAACUACCUCCAUGAAUUUGAUGAAAUGCAGCAACAUAAAAGCGUAUUGUACAAAGCAAGGUUAAAAACUUUGAAGCAUUAGCUCAUGGCGUUCUCUUGUGUGUCAAUGCUUGCGUAUGAAGUCAUCGUGUUUCCAUUGCCACAAUUUCCUUUUACAAUAUUAAAAAUCUGUCUUUCAGAUGAGUCAUGUAAGACUUUGACAAGGCUGCAUAAUUUGGAUAACAGUGAAAAGGGAGACUGAACCCUCCCAUCCUCUCCCCAGUUACUGCUACAAUUUCUGCCUGGUAGAACUUGAAAAUGUGUUAUGUAACUGAGCAAAUUAGGAACAUCUACAGUCUGUGAAAUAUGAUUGAUGGUGUGGGGUUUUAGGGGAAGACGCUCCGGGUAUUUUCUUCGCAGCCUGCAAAUAGGCUGGGCCCUAUUCUGCCUCCGAUUUUGCCAACAGGUCAGGUCAUGGUUUCUCGGAACUGGCAAGAGUUAGAACAGCGAUACGUGCUCUGGUUUCUGGAGUGCCAGAACCACUCACUCUUGUAGAAAUGAGCAGCAGCUCUUAAUUGACUUUGCUGGGAGCAGCAUUAGGGACCCUGCUUGAGGUAUGUGCCUACUGUUCAAAGAACGUGGCCAAGUUCCCAAGAAAAAUGAAGCUAGCCUUUGAAGUAGCCAGUUGCAACAAGCCACCUUUCAGAAGAGAAAAAAAGAUUUUCCAAAAAUCAAAGGAAGAAAGUGGCAGCUGAACUUAAGCAGAUCAUAUUUAUAUACAAGCCCCGAUUUAUGAACACCUCUUUCAGCAAACCUAGUACCAUUAUCACAAUGCAGGUUAAUAUAUGGUCAUCAGUGGAGCUAAUAUAGCUGUUAAAACAGUUCAGUUAAAAAUCAUAAGAGGUCAUCCAUUUGACUCUGUGCAUCAUUGUAAAACGUCCAUAAAAAAAGCAGCGAUGCUCGCUCAACUUUAAGACAUAUCAGGAAAGAAAUAUUGUAAUGAAAACCACAGCCUAGUGCUUGCCAGAGCAGUCAUUCUUAUAGCAGAGAAUGAGGAAGCCAAGGUCAUGCUCUGCACCCAGAUCAUGCCCUCUGGCCCUGGAGCCCUCCCUGUGGUUCAGCCAGGGCAGGUAGGUGGCACCAUCCCCAUCUUGUGUCAGGGCAUGCUGAAAAAAAAGAGACGAAGGCUGAAAUCCAUGGACAAAAUUAUUAACCAGUUUCCUUCUUUCUCUUCAAAAGUCAUUCAAGUAAAGUUUCUUAGUUAACCAAAGUGUUGAUAGUCUGAAGUUUUCACACGGUCGGUUUAAGAGAGGAGCUACUGUGUGGUCCUGCAGGAACUCUAAGACAAGCAGUGCCAAACAGGUUCCAGUCACACAAGUACUGCCAGCAGAGGGUUUAGGAACAGGAUUUUUAAUUAAAAAUGUGUUUUUCAAAUACAUUUCCCAGAGCUUUUCCUAAACACAGUUGUUCAAGUGGUGCUGAGGAAGCAAAUAGCACUCCUGAUCUGGUGUCACCUGCACAGUUUACAAUUCUCUUUGCUCUUCUGAAGAAAGCUGUACAGUAUUAAGAGAGAAAAAGUUCUAUUUUUUACAUAAUUCUUUAAAAAAAACAAAGUAUAUAUCUAAAACGUUCCCCCCCAACGUAAGUAAAGUACAUGGAUACUGCAUCAGAGAGCUGCAUGGCACGCAGGACCCAACUAAAGCCAGGCUGGUGCUAGAGGAAUCUGGGACUCGCGCUUCUCAUAGCGGCUCCGAGCGUUGGUUGCAGCCCCACAGUGUAAAUCUGGCAGUCACUCCCCGCUUCCCCCCUCUCGCAGAGAGCGGAAUUGCUUGCUAACUCCAUUGAAGCUCAGUUCUGAGCUGAGGAUUUCCGUGUUCCUCCCCCCAAGACACGAACGGAGCAGAAGGCCGCACGCACACACCCAGAGCUGGAAGAGAUCCCUGGCGGAGGGCAGCAGCCCCGUGCCCUGCCCGGCUGCGGGGAGAGCUGCCAUAGGGGUUACCUUGGUGUGUGGAGGAGAGAUGUGCUGAAAGGGAUGGUAAUUCUGCAGGUAACUUUCUGUGAGUGACUGAAUGUGGCUGUUGCAUUAGGUCUAAAUGAGUUAAUAAAUGCAAGUGGGACUUACUGUAUGUUAGAAGGGAGUUUUGCAGCCAAGACUGCCUUGUAUAAAUGUGUUUGCACUGAAAAAAAAAAAAAGAAAAAAGAAAAAAAAAUUACUUGGUCUCUGGUUGCUGUAAAGGUCAUCCAAGAUGGAUGUUCUGUUUAUAUUGUAUAGUAUUUCAUAUGAAAUAAUUACGGUUCAUGAAAUGUCUUCCCUAACGUUACUGAUUUAUAACAGCACAUUUGUAACAUGGUUUUUAUUGUGUCAGUGUACCAUAUUGUAAAUGAUGAUAACUUGUCAUGCUUAGUAUAAUAAUUUAAAGGAAAAAAGGACAGGGAUUUUUGUAAGUCUAUAUUUGAAAGUCCCUCCAUAUGGUAAUAUUGUGUUCAUGUUGUUAUGUAGUGUUGUGUGAAAUAUCCAUUUUGGAUUGUGUUACUUUUUAAGAUAUUAAAUAACAUUUGGUUAUA